CCUACGGGUGGCAGCAGUGAGGAAUAUUGGUCAAUGGUCGGGAGACUGAACCAGCCAAGUAGCGUGCAGGAUGACGGCCCUACGGGUUGUAAACUGCUUUUAUGCGGGGAUAAAGUGCGUCACGUGUGGUGCUUUGCAGGUACCGCAUGAAUAAGGACCGGCUAAUUCCGUGCCAGCAGCCGCGGUAAUACGGAGGGUCCGGGCGUUAUCCGGAUUUAUUGGGUUUAAAGGGAGCGUAGGCCGCAUGUUAAGCGUGCUGUGAAAUGCCGGGGCUCAACCCUGGCAGUGCAGCGCGAACUGGCGUGCUUGAGUGCGCGGAAAGUAUGCGGAAUUCGUGGUGUAGCGGUGAAAUGCUUAGAUAUCACGAAGAACCCCGAUUGCGAAGGCAGCUUACGGCAGCGGUACUGACGCUGAUGCUCGAAAGCGCGGGUAUCGAACAGGAUUAGAUACCCUAGUAGUC
rnacentral:rRNA from 1 species